rnacentral:rRNA from 2 species
AUAACAACUCUCGGCAACGGAUAUCUCGGCUCUCGCAUCGAUGAAGAACGCAGCGAAAUGCGAUACCUGGUGUGAAUUGCAGAAUCCCGUGAAUCAUCGAGUUUUUGAACGCAAGUUGCGCCCGAUACCAUUUGGUUGAGGGCACGCCUGCCUGGGCGUCAUG